UACAGAGGGGGCAAGCGUUGUUCGGAAUUACUGGGCGUAAAGGGCGCGUAGGCGGCCCGCUAAGUCGAACGUGAAAUCCCCGAGCUCAACUCGGGAACUGCGUCCGAUACUGGUGGGCUUGAAUCCGGGAGAGGGAUGCGGAAUUCCAGGUGUAGCGGUGAAAUGCGUAGAUAUCUGGAGGAACACCGGUGGCGAAGGCGGGACUCUGGGCCGAUACUGACGCUGAGGAGCGAAAGCGUGGGGAGCAAACAGG
rnacentral:rRNA from 1 species